GGUAUCCUGUGUUGCUUACCCUYUGAGAGGAAUUCGAUGGUUUUGGUGUCCCUAUCCGCCUUCUGCCCUUCGGGGUGCGGGGUGGACUUUGAGGCGUGCUCUGUGUUCCCCGCGUGUCGAGUGCGUUGACACUCGAUCGUUGCGGCCCAUGGGGUCUCGGCCUGUGCUCUCGGAUGCGGAAUGUUGUGUGUGGGCGUGGGGUCUCGGCCUCUGCUCGUCCAAGCUAUACACGCAUUGUCUCUGCAGGUAAAUGAACGACCGUCGCGCCCGUCUUGAUCGGCCGAUCGAGCCCCCACUGUGGGGUUUCGGGAGGGCGACUCAUGCGGACGU
rnacentral:misc_RNA from 1 species